ACGAACGCUGGCGGCGUGCUUAACACAUGCAAGUCGAACGGAAAGGCCCUGCUUGCUGGGUACUCGAGUGGCGAACGGGGGAGUAACACGUGGGUGAUCUGCCCUGCACUUCGGGAUAAGCCUGGGAAACUGGGUCUAAUACCGGAUAGGAGCCAUUUUUAGUGUGAUGGUUGGAACGUUUUUUCGGUGUAGGAUGAGCUCGCGGCCUAUCAGCUUGUUGGUGGGGUAAUGGCCUACCACGGCGGCGACGGGUAGGCGGCCUGAGAUGGUGGACGGGCACAUCGGGACUUAGAUUCGGCCCAGACUGCUACGGGAGGCAGAAGUGGGGAAGAUUGCACGAUGGGCGCUAGCCUGAUGCAGCGACGCCGCGAGGGGGAUGACGGCCUUCGGGUUGUAAACUCCUUUCGCUAGGGACGAAGCUUUUUGUGACGGUACCUAGAUAAGAAGCACCGGCUAACUACGUG
rnacentral:rRNA from 1 species